UACGUAGGGAGCAAGCGUUGUCCGGAAUCAUUGGGCGUAAAGCGCGCGUAGGUGGCCAUGUAAGUCCGCUGUGAAAGUCAAAGGCUCAACCUUUGAAAGCCGGUGGAUACUGCAUGGCUAGAGUACGGAAGAGGCGAGUGGAAUUCCUGGUGUAGCGGUGGAAUGCGCAGAUAUCAGGAGGAACACCAAUAGCGAAGGCAGCUCGCUGGGACGUACUGACACUGAGGCGCGAAAGCGUGGGGAGCGAACAGG
rnacentral:rRNA from 1 species